rnacentral:tRNA from 1 species
CAUUAAGAAGCUAUGAAACAGCGCUAGCCUUUUAAGCUAGAGAUAGGGGACAUACUCCCCCUUAAUGA